rnacentral:rRNA from 1 species
AACGAACGCUGGCGGCAUGCCUAACACAUGCAAGUCGAACGAGACCUUCGGGUCUAGUGGCGCACGGUUGCGUAACGCGUGGUAACCUGCCCUUAGGUUCGGAAUAACUCCCCGAAAGGGGUGCUAAUACCGGAUAAUGUCUUCGGACCAAAGAUUUAUCGCCUUUGGAUGGGCCCGCGUUGGAUUAGCUAGUUGGUAGGGUAAAAGCCUACCAAGGCGACGAUCCAUAGCUGGUCUGAGAGGAUGAUCAGCCACACUGGGACUGAGACACGGCCCAGACUCCUACGGGAGGCAGCAGUGGGGAAUAUUGGACAAUGGGCGAAAGCCUGAUCCAGCAAUGCCGCGUGAGUGAUGAAGGCCUUAGGGUUGUAAAGCUCUUUUACCCGGGAUGAUAAUGACAGUACCGGGAGAAUAAGCUCCGGCUAACUCCGUG